UUUUUUUUUUUUUUAAGAUGAUGUCUGUAUGUGAUACUUUUCUAGAGUGUUCUCUCUUUUUUUAAAUUAAUUUUUUUGCCUUGCCUGUGGCAUGUGGAAGUUCCCAGGCUAGGGGUCCAAUCUGAGCUGUAGCCACUGGCCUACACCACAGCCACAGCAACGCGGGAUUGGAGGAGCAUCUGCAACCUAUACCACUGCUCACGUCAGUGCCAGAUCCUUAACCCACUGAGUGAAGCCAGGGAUUACACCCGUGUCCCCAUGCAUGCUAGUUUGGUUUGUUAACCACUGAGCCAUGAUGGGAAUUCCUAGUUUUAUGUCUUUAUAUAUGCAUACGCUAAUGACUCUGAAGUUUAUAUUGCCAAUUUAAACUUCUCUUCUCGAGUACCAGACUGAAACUUCUGGCCACCCAAUGUUGUACAGACCUUUCUUCUAACACAUAAUCUUUCUUCCUCAAGAGAAUCAAUCAGAAGCUCCAUCCAGAUACUGCAUAUAACUCACAGUGUAGGAUAUCUACGUAAUUCUUUCCCUCUUAAUUCAGCCCAGUAAUCUGUAAAAUAAUAAACAGCGUAACUAUCACUUUUUUGCCCAACCCAUUGUACAUUAGUGAAUAACAAUAGGAUAAUCAUAAUGACAGCUUCUUUGGAGAAGGAUAGAAUAAGUUCACAGCAGUCAUUGGUCCGUAGUAAUAAUGAGCUCCUUCUGGAAAGAAGACUACCCUGGCAACUGUGAAAAACCCUUGGUUCAACUCUGAUUUUGCUCUUUAUGAGGAAUACCCUUUAGAAUAUUGUGUAUGUCCUUGGCUUUGUUCUUAGGUGAUUCUUUCUUGUUUAUCAUCUUCCUUUGCCACAUCUGAAUUAGCAGGCAUUUGAGAGUAAGACAUCCCUAGGAAUUGUAAAACUUUUGUAGUACCAUAUCAGUUAGUAUUUAGGCUCUGCAGGGUUACUUAAAAAUCAGUUAUAGGGUUUCAUAGGUCAGUAAUGUGGCUAGCUGGUAAAACUCUAUUAAACAUUUAAUACAUUAAAACAUUUUUUUUUAUUUAAGUAUAGCUGAUUUACAAGCUUGUGCUAUUGGUAAUAGUGCUGCAACGAACAUAGGGGUGCAUGUAUCUUUUCAAAUUAUAGUUUUGUCUGGAUAUAUGCCUAUGAGUGGGAUAGCUGGAUCAUAUGGUAGUUCUAUAUGUAGUUUUCUGAGGAACCUCAAUACUGUUUUCCAUAGUGGUUGUACCAAUUUACAUUCCCACCAGUUCCCUUUUCUCUGUACCUUGAAUAUAUUUCUAUUCUGUUUUAACUCAGUACCAUGUGAUAAUUAGUUGCAGCAGAAGAUCUCUUUUAGUGACAUUUUCUUUUUUUUUGAAAUUUACUGUCUCUACUAUUCCUUUUCCUUUCUCUUGUGUAACUUGACUACCUUGAGGGCAUCUGAAAUAACAGCCUUUGGAUAACCUAUCAGCCGGGAUUUAAACAGAAGCAGAACAAGUAGGAGAUUUAUAUAUGAUAGGUAGAUUGAUAAAUAGAUAUGUAUUAAGAGAUUUAUUACAAGGAAUUGGUUUACGUAGUUCCGGGGGCUGGCUAAGCAAGUCUGAAAUUUGUAAGGUAAGCAGUUGGAAAGGUAAGAGCUCAGGCAAGUUGGAACCCAUGGGCAUGUGCUGAAGCUGUUCUCCAUAGGCAAUUAAAAAAGGAAAGUCCAGUGAAGGGAGAACAGUUACAGGCUCAGCUGCUAUUUGGUGUCUCAUUUGUCAGGGAAAAAACCUAAGAGCUCACUGUACUAGGUCUGGCUCACUAAGGAUGGAUCACUGGAGCUUAAAAACGUCAACUGAUUAGGGUCUUUAACUACAUCUGCAAAAUUCCCUAGAUUAGUUUGGAUAACUGAGAGAAAGUAUUUUCAAAAUGCCUGUUGUCCUUCCUUCCUCUUAGUUUACUCCUACCAACUUGACACAUCCAAAACCAUCAGAAGUGGGAAAGCAACACUCUGUACUUGAUCUUUGCAACCAUCUGACAGAAUCGUUGAGGUCAGGUUAACCUUUGUAUUUGAAAUCUGGAAACAGCUACCUUUCCCAAACCUGAGAGAUCCUGGAUUACUUAUAGAGUAGGUUUUGCUACUGAGAGAACUUUUCUCAGUGGCACUAUUUUCAGGUCUGUCUCUGCUUGCUAAUUGCCUUAUUCAUAGUUGAGUUGAUUUUUCUGGUUAUUCUUUAAAUAGCCAUCACACCAAUAUUUUGAGUUUUUCCUAAUUGCUUUUCUUAGAGCUACGUACCUGGUAGGCAUAUGAUGUGCCCUUUUUGUCAUUGCAGCAAGAGUUUUACAAAAAUGGUUUGCUACUGCAUAACAGAGAUUGUUGGCUUUCCAGGCUGAGAUAUGUUUCCUUGCUGCCUGUCUUCUUAGCCUUAUCAGUUUUUAGGAGUUUAUUAUUGCAGCAUUCCAUUCCUAAAUUAUUGUGUUAGUUAAGGUGUGGGAUGGGUUAGACUCAAGCAAGGUAGAUUAUGUGAUACUCUGGUGGUAGUCCUUCAGGUCAUUCAUAGUCUAAAUUUCUACUGUUUUGUUACACCAUCCCUUAACCUGUUCUGUCUCUUAUGGUAGCAGCUGGCCACAUAGGGUUACUGAGCACCUGAAAUGUGGCUAGUAUAACUGAGGGUCUGAAUUUUGAAUUUUAUUUAAUUUUAGUUAAUUUAAAUAAUUAUAUGUGACUAGUGGCUACCAUUAUUGGAGGAGGCAAAUGGAACAUUUCUAUCAUCAUAGAAAGUUUUUUUGAACAAUUCUGCCUUAGAAUGUUGACUUCAUCUACAAGGUGUAAUCUGGCUCACCAGCAUUAUGUCUAUAGUCCAUCCUAUUAUGGGCUAAGUUGUGUUUCCCCAUAAUUUACAUUGAUGCCCUAACCCCCAGUAUCUCAGAAUGUGACGGUUUGUAGAGAUAGGGCCUUCAAAAAGGGUAAUUAAGGUUAAAUCAGGUCAUACAGGUGAGCUCUAAUGCAGUCUGACAAGCUUCCUUAUAAGAAGGAAUGCAUCUGCAAAAGGGAUGUGUGUACACAGAGAAAAGGCCAUGUGAGGACACAGUAAGAAGAUGGCCAUUUGCAAGCCUGAGAGAGAGGCCUUAGAAGAAGCUAUACCUGCUUACACCUUAAUAUUAGGCUUCUAGCCUCAAGGAUCUUGGACUUCUAGCCUCAAGAGCUGUGAGAAAAUAAAUUGCUGUUGUUUAAGCCACCCAGUCUGUGGUGUUUUGUGAGGCAGCUGUAGUGAACAAGUACAUAACCCAUGAGAAAUAAAAACAGAAAGGUGAACACAAAUAGCUUCCUUUUAAGGAAUUAACCAACAAAUUGCAAACAGAACUUCCAGUUAUAUCCUAUUGGUGCAAAGUUAGUUAUAUGUCUAUACCUAGGGCCUAGCUCUUGCUCUGUGGACAUUAUACCCAGAUAUAACUUGGAGAAGUGUUUUACUAAAAAAAAAAAAA
rnacentral:lncRNA from 1 species